UACGGAGGGGACUAGCGUUGUUCGGAAUUACUGGGCGUAAAGCGCACGUAGGCGGAUUUGUAAGUCAGGGGUGAAAUCCCGGGGCUCAACCUCGGAACUGCCUUUGAUACUGCAAAUCUCGAGUCCGGAAGAGGUGAGUGGAAUUCCUAGUGUAGAGGUGAGAUUCGUAGAUAUUAGGAAGAACACCAGUGGCGAAGGCGGCUCGCUGGUCCGGUACUGACGCUGAGGUGCGAAAGCGUGGGGAGCAAACAGG
rnacentral:rRNA from 1 species